rnacentral:rRNA from 1 species
UACGUAGGUGGCAAGCGUUGUCCGGAUUUAUUGGGUUUAAAGGGUGCGUAGGCGGCCCUGUAAGUCAGUGGUGAAAUAUCUCAGCUUAACUGAGAGGGUGCCAUUGAUACUGCAGGGCUUGAGUACAGAUGAGGUUGGCGGAAUUGACGGUGUAGCGGUGAAAUGCUUAGAUAUCGUCAAGAACACCGAUAGUGAAGACAGCUAACUAAGCUUUAACUGACGCUGAGGCACGAAAGUGUGGGGAUCAAACAGG